AGUGUCUGGCUGCUGUAAGGGUG
rnacentral:piRNA from 1 species